rnacentral:rRNA from 1 species
UACAGAGGUCUCAAGCGUUGUUCGGAUUCAUUGGGCGUAAAGGGUGCGUAGGCGGCGCGGUAAGUCUGGUGUGAAAUCUCGGAGCUCAACUCCGAAAUUGCACCGGAUACUGCGUGACUCGAGGACUGUAGAGGAGAUCGGAAUUCACGGUGUAGCAGUGAAAUGCGUAGAUAUCGUAAGGAAGACCAGUGGCGAAGGCGGGUCUCUGGACAGUUCCUGACGCUGAGGCACGAAGGCCAGGGGAGCAAACGGG